rnacentral:rRNA from 1 species
AUACGGAAGGUCCGGGCGUUAUCCGGAUUUAUUGGGUUUAAAGGGAGCGCAGGCGGAGAUGCAAGCGUGACGUCAAAUUUCGGGGCUCAACCCCGUCUCGCGUCGCGAACUGCGUCUCUUGGUUGCGGGAAGGGGAGGCGGAACUCGGGGUGUAGCGGUGAAAUGCAUAGAUAUCACGAAGAACUCCGAUCGCGAAGGCAGCCUUCCGGCCCGUCAACGACGCUCAUGCUCGAAGGUGCGGGUAUCAAACAGGAUUAGAUACCCUGGUAGUCCGCACAGUAAACGAUGGACACCCGCGGUUUGGCCUAUAUGGCUGAGCCGCCAAGCGAAAGCGUUAAGUGUCCCACCUGGGGAGUACGCCGGCAACGGUGGAACUCAAAGGAAUUGACGGGG